rnacentral:rRNA from 1 species
UGCCGGACCUGACUGCUAUCGGAUUGAUACUAAGCCAUGCGAGUCAUUGUAGCAAUACAAGGCAUACGGCUCAGUAACGCGUAGUCAACCUAACCUAUGGACGGGAAUAACCUCGGGAAACCGAGAAUAAUGCCCGAUAGAACAUUAUGCCUGGAAUGGUUUAUGUUCCAAAUGAUUUAUCGCCGUAGGAUGGGACUGCGGCCUAUCAGUUUGUUGGUGAGGUAAUGGCCCACCAAGACUAUUACAGGUACGGGCUCUGAGAGGAGUAGCCCGGAGAUGGGUACUGAGACACGGACCCAGGCCCUAUGGGGCGCAGCAGGCGAGAAAACUUUGCAAUGUGCGAAAGCACGACAAGGUUAAUCCGAGUGGUUUCCGCUAAAGAAACCUUUUGUCAGUCCUAGAAACACUGAUGAAUAAGGGGUGGGCAAGUUCUGGUGUCAGCA